rnacentral:rRNA from 1 species
UCUUAGACAAUGGGCGCAAGCCUGAUCUAGCCAUGCCGCGUGAGCGAUGAAGGCCUUAGGGUUGUAAAGCUCUUUCAGAUGGGAAGAUAAUGACGGUACCAUCAGAAGAAGCCCCGGCUAACUCCGUGCCAGCAGCCGCGGUAAUACGGAGGGGGCUAGCGUUGUUCGGAAUUACUGGGCGUAAAGCGCGCGUAGGCGGAUUGGAAAGUUGGGGGUGAAAUCCCGGGGCUCAACCUCGGAACUGCCUUCAAAACUCCCAGUCUUGAGUUCGAGAGAGGUGAGUGGAAUUCCGAGUGUAGAGGUGAAAUUCGUAGAUAUUCGGAGGAACACCAGUGGCGAAGGCGGCUCACUGGCUCGAUACUGACGCUGAGUGCGAA